AUUGAACGCUGGCGGCAGGCCUAACACAUGCAAGUCGAACGAGUGGCGGACGGGUGAGUAAUGUCUGGGAAACUGCCUGAUGGAGGGGGAUAACUACUGGAAACGGUAGCUAAUACCGCAUACCAUCGGAUGUGCCCAGAUGGGAUUAGCUUGUUGGUGGGGUAAAGGCUCACCUAGGCGACGAUCCCUAGCUGGUCUGAGAGGAUGACCAGCAACACUGGAAAGGAGACACGGUCCAGACGCCUACGGGAGGCAGCAGUGGGGAAUAGUGCAAAAUGGGCGGAAGCCUGAUGCAGCCAUGCCGCGGGUAUGAAGAAGGCCUUCGGGUUGUAAAGUACUUUCAGCGGGGAGGCGUUACCCGCAGAAGAAGCACCGGCUAACUCCGUGCCAGCAGCCGCGGUAAUUC
rnacentral:rRNA from 1 species